rnacentral:rRNA from 1 species
AANCNUGAGCAANGGGAGAGUAAGUGGCGCACGGGUGAGUAACGCGUGGGUAACUACCCUGAAGUUGGGAAUACACCUCGAAAGGGGUGCUAUACCCGAUAACAUCCCUGGGGCUCCGGCCGCGGGGAUCAAAGAUGGCUGAGGCUUGCAAGCUAUCGCUUCAGGAUGAGCCCGCGUACCAUUAGCUAGUUGGUGGGGUAAUGGCCCACCAAGGCAAUGAUGGUUAGCUGGUCUGAGAGGAUGGCCAGCCACACUGGAACUGAGACACGGUCCAGACUCCUACGGGAGGCAGCAGUGAGGAAUCUUGCGCAAUGGGGGCAACCCUGACGCAGCAACGCCGCGUGAGUGAUGAAGGCCUUCGGGUCGUAAAGCUCUGUCAGGUGGGAAGAAGGUUCCGUUUCUGAAUAAGAAACGGAAUUGACGGUACCGUCGAAGGAAGCACCGGCUAACUCCGUGCCAGCAGCCGCGGUAAUACGGAGGGUGCAAGCGUUGUUCGGAUUUAUUGGGCGUAAAGAGCGUGUAGGCGGCCAGGUAAGUCAGAUGUGAAAUCCCUUGGCUUAACCAAGGAAGGGCAUUUGAAACUGUCUGGCUUGAGUACGGGAAGGGGAAGUGGAAUUCCCGGUGUAGAGGUGAAAUUCGUAGAUAUCGGGAGGAACACCGGUGGCGAAGGCGGCU